UGACUUUUACAGCAGCCAGUGGUAUCUGCCCAAGUAAGCAAAGGCUUGGAUCCUGUUUCUUUCUCAGCUGACUCAUUUUAUCCCAAGAUUUCCCAUUGCAAUUAUCUGAGCACCACUGAACUGGAGGAGUGGAAAAGAGUGGAGAAACCUGGACAUUUUAUCUCUGGGAAUUUUUCAGUCUAGAAAUUUAAGAAUGGUGUUAAAAGGAAAUCUGAUCCAAUGUAUCUUAACCUGCUGCAAAAAAAAAAAAAAAAGAAAGAAAGAAAAAAUUUCAUCUUUGCAGCUUCCUGCACACCAGACAACAUCUCUGUCAUUAUGUUAUGAAGGCAUCACUCUAUCAGCUGUAAGAGUGCUACUGGAGGAUUGAUGUAACUUGCUUCCAGUGGCAUUUUCAAAGGUCCAGUUGUACCUUUAGGACCAAAUUUUCGUGGAGCAAUGCUAAACUUGCCUGCAGAAAUCUACCUUCAUAUUUUCUCAAGAAGAUGGAUUUGACUCCAGUAAAAUUAUCACCAGUGUGGCAUGUAGAAGUUAUACUUUCUUUACUGUAGCCUGGGAUUAAGGGAGUCUGAAUUAAAUCUACAUGUUUUUUUAUGAGAGAAAGUCAACUCUCUACUUUUUUGAAAAUUUAGCUCUUAAUGUACAUUUGGCUCUCAAGGGGAAACUCAGGCAUCACCGUGUAUUUCCUAAAUUAAUCCAAUUAUAAUGAUUUCUAUAUUUAACGAUGAGCCACAAAUGUUUUUAAUCACGCUUUGUUCCCUGUGGUACAGCUUACACAAUACCAUUGCCUGCAUGCUAAAGAAUAGCAUAAAAAUACUCUUGUACACUAAUGGAAUACCUGGCAGUGUGAGGAAUUCAUCUUCAAAGAUCAAACCACUUUCUGAAAGGGCAGAAGCCACAGAUUUGGAACCAAACAAAAGUCUGUUUCACUCAUGUUUUCUUUGGCUUUCUCUACCCAGCCAAAUUGGAUAGUUCCAAUAAAAAAGUAUCCACCUUGGGGCCUAAAAUUAUACCCUUAAAAUUAACAGGAUAAUUAUCCACUCUGUAUUCCUCUUUUUCUCUGAAGAUACAACCAUUGUCUUAUGGCUUCAGGAAAAACAUUACUGAGAAUUUCAUAGAAAAAAAAAGCAUUUAUCAGCGUUGGGAUCUCCCUUCAUUACCUUGAGGCAUGUUUCCAAGAAUUUGGGCCCCAGAAUUGAGAAACCAGAUAUAUGACCUGGGAUCUUCACCCCUUCAAAAAAAAAAAUCAGAAGUCAUUUAAUAUCACUUUUCCAUUGUGAUUUAUGUACACUUGUGUGCAAGUGUCAUUAGAAAUGAAGUUUUACAUAAGUGGAAAUAUGUAGAAUUAAUCCAGUGUGUUCAAUAAUGUGUUUGACAUAGGUUAUCUAGGAAUUCCAGGGGUGUGUUGGGGUACAACCUUAGUCAUGCAUGCUCAAUGGAAGCCUUGGUUCUUAAACUUUUGAAUAUUCUUCAACAAAAAAAUCAUUGACAACAAUCUGGCACUGCUAUAACAAUGUACCACAAACUGAAUCCUUAUAAAUCAGAAAUGUAUUAUCUCACAGUUGUGAAGUCUACAAUUCUGAAAUCUAGUUGUCAGCAGAACUGGUUUCUUCUGACAGGUGUCAGAGGGAUGAUUCUGCUGCAUGCCCCUUUCAUCGCUUCUGAUGACCUCAGGAAUUCCUUGGUUUGUCAAGGUGCCUCCCAUGUCAUUACUUUCUCUGUGCUCUCAAACUAUCCAUGUGUGUAAAUUUCUCCUUUUUCUGUGAAUACCAGUCAUGUUGAAUUCAGACUCACUCUAAUGAUCUCCUCUUAACUUGACCCUGUACAAAGACUCUUUCCAAAUAAGGUCACAUUUAGAGAUUUUAGUUUAGGGCUUUAGUAGCUGUUGUGGGUGGGGACUGCACAAUUUCACCUAAAAUAGGAAUUUAAAGUUUCAAAAACAUCAAUGAUUUCUUCAAACAGAAUUAUGUUUUUGUUUUUUUUUUCACUACAAAACAUCAUCAGUCCUUGACUGAGUCGUAUGUGUUGAGAUGGGUGAUUUUUAAUUAACUAACAGUUGGGACAGUGGGUAAACAAGUUAAGGAGAGUUGGCAGUGGAGGAAGCAUUUAGUACCUCCUGAAGGUGAGCAUCAAAACCUCAAUCAAGGGAAGCAUGUGUGUUUUCGAUAAUUAUGUUAAACAUUAGAAUUUUGUAGCUGAAAGGAAAGAAAUUACCUGUAAUAUUAAAAAGUAAAUGCUCAUUCAAGUAUUGUUGCCUGUUAGGAAGAAGUAAAAGAUACUCAUAACAGAGGGACAUUUGGACAUACAGGUUGAGAAGGAAGACAUUGCAAACACAUGGAAAACUUCUCCAAUGUGGGUUGGGGGAGAAAGUGAGACUAGAAUCCACACAGCCAUUUCUAUGAAAGAAAAGGGACUUCUCAACACUUAAACACUACCAGUAUAAUAACAAUUUACUAAAAGUACACAUGCAUCAUUACCCCCUCUGUGAUGGGAAGCAUGAGGGUUUGGGAACUAAAUAUGAUGCACUUCAGUAAACUCAGUCUGAUCCCAUUUGGGCAGCUUAGUCUGUUCAGUAAAUGUUGAGAUUUUCAGAUUGCCUUUUCUCCCCAUUGCUCUUUGGGAUGAUGUCUGAGUUUAUAGCAACCAAGGAUGAUUCUAUGACCACAUAGAACUUUCAUACGUUGAAACUUAAUUGUCAAUGUAAUAGUAUUAAGUGUCAAUACCUUUAGGAGGUGAUUAAAUCACGAGGGCUCUGCCCUCCUGUGUGGGAUUAAUGGCUUGCAAAACAGGUUCUCACAGCAUUCACCCCCUUUGCCCUUCUGCCUUCUGCUAUGUAAGGACACAGUGUUCAAGAUGCCACCUUGAGCAAAAACUGGGCCCUCACUGGACAACAAACCUGUUGGUUCCUUGAUCUUGGACUUCCCAGCCUCCAAAAUUGUGAGCAAUAAAUGUGUUCUUUGUAUGUUACUCAGUCUCAGUAAUUUUGUUAUAGUAUCAAGAAUGGACAAAGACAGAGGCUCCCAAGCUUACCUGUAGAUCAAGGAGACCUCAGACACCUGGCAUUCUCCAGAUCAUUUUGCUAUGAUUUACUGCAAGCUCUGGAUUUUUAGCUACUAAUGACUGAGACAAUUGCUGGCAUUCUGGGAUUCUGUGCAAGACUCAGCUGAUAAUUUUCAGUCACCAUUCCCUAAAAAUAAUGUCCUCCCUGUCUUGAUUCCAGUUCUCUAAUGAUCUACCAGUUUUCAUGGCACCUCUGCAUACUAUCAACAGAUGUCCGGCAACGUGUUGGGAAUAUCCACAUCUGAGCUGUCUCCUUCAAUUGGGUUUUGGCAACCUAUGGCCUCUGAGCCCAACCCAGUCUGCUACUUGAUUU